UACGUAGGGUGCGAGCGUUAAUCGGAAUUACUGGGCGUAAAGCGUGCGCAGGCGGUUUUGUAAGCCAGAUGUGAAAUCCCCGGGCUUAACCUGGGAAUGGCAUUUGGGACUGCAAGGCUUGAGUGCGGCAGAGGAGACUGGAAUUCCCGGUGUAGCAGUGAAAUGCGUAGAUAUCGGGAAGAACACCCGUGGCGAAGGCGGCUCUCUGGAACGCAACUGACGCUGAGACGCGAAAGCGUGGGGAGCAAACAGG
rnacentral:rRNA from 1 species